UUCUUAUUGGAUGAUUAUUGUCACGUGUCAUGUUGUGAACUUCAUGGAAGAUGAAAUGUAUUGUUAUUUUCAUUGACCAAUCAAAACAUGAUAUGUGGCAAUCAUCAUCC
rfam:Glycine soja cultivar W05 scaffold874_3, whole genome shotgun sequence.